rnacentral:rRNA from 1 species
ACCUGAGGGUGAAAGCGGGGGAUCGCAAGACCUCGCGCGAUGGGAGCGGCCGAUAUCGGAUUAGCUUGAUGGUGAGGUAAAGGCUCACCAAGGCGACGAUCCGUAGCUGGUCUGAGAGGACGACCAGCCACACUGGAACUGAGACACGGUCCAGACUCCUACGGGAGGCAGCAGUGGGGAAUUUUGGACAAUGGGGGCAACCCUGAUCCAGCCAUUCCGCGUGAGUGAAGAAGGCCUUCGGGUUGUAAAGCUCUUUCAGCAGGAACGAAACGGUGGCCACUAAUACUGGCUACUAAUGACGGUACCUGAAGAAGAAGCACCGGCUAACUACGUGCCAGCAGCCGCGGUAAUACGUAGGGUGCGAGCGUUAAUCGGAAUUACUGGGCGUAAAGCGUGCGCAGGCGGUUAUGUAAGACAGGUGUGAAAUCCCCGGGCUUAACCUGGGAACUGCGCUUGUGACUGCAUAACUCGAGUGUGGCAGAGGGGGGUGGAAUUCCACGUGUAGCAGUGAAAUGCGUAGAGAUGUGGAGGAACACCGAUGGCGAAGGCAGCCCCCUGGGUCAUCACUGACGCUCAUGCACGAAAGCGUGGGGAGCAAACAGGAUUAGAUACCCUGGUAGUCCACGCCCUAAACGAUGCGAACUAGGUGUUGGGGAAGGAGACUUUCUUAGUACCGCAGCUAACGCGUGAAGCUCGCCGCCUGGGGAGUACGGUCGCAAGAUUAAAACUCAAAGGAAUUGACGGGGACCCGCACAAGCGGUGGAUGAUGUGGAUUAAUUCGAUGCAACGCGAAAAACCUUACCUACCCUUGACAUGUCAGGAAGUCCGCUGAGAGGUGGAUGUGCCCGAAAGGGGACCUGAACACAGGUGCUGCAUGGCUGUCGUCAGCUCGUGUCGUGAGAUGUUGGGUUAAGUCCCGCAACGAGCGCAACCCUUGUCAUUAAUUGCCAUCAUUCAGUUGGGCACUUUAAUGAGACUGCCGGUGACAAACCGGAGGAAGGUGGGGAUGACGUCAAGUCCUCAUGGCCCUUAUGGGUAGGGCUUCACACGUCAUACAAUGGUCGGUACAGAGGGUCGCCAACCCGCGAGGGGGAGCCAAUCCCACAAAGCCGAUCGUAGUCCGGAUCGGAGUCUGCAACUCGACUCCGUGAAGUCGGAAUCGCUAGUAAUCGUGGAUCAGCAUGUCACGGUGAAUACGCUCCCGGGUCUUGUACACACCGCCCGUCACACCAUGGGAGUGGGUUCCACCAGAAGUAGGUAGUCUAACCGCAAGGGGGGCGC